GUUUUCUUUCCUUCAUUAUCUAAGCCUAAUAUUCCCAACUCAAACCCUAAUAAAAAAAACUACGGGUUUCUUCAUCGCAAAUUCAAACUUGGCAUUAAAUCCAAUUUCUAAAGGUAAGCGACGAAAUGAAACCUACAUCUGUAAUCAAAGCUGCGAUUUUCUUAUUCCCAAACCUUAACAAACAGACUUCCAAUUUUUAGAGGCAAGGAGACGAAUUGAAAUCAUAAAAUUUGUACUCUGCCCAUCAUUUUUAUUCAUUUAUUGGCUAUUGUUCACAAUGAAUCAGGUAUUAGUUUCAUUUUAUUUCUUGUGUUUUGAUUCUAUGGUGCUGGUUGAUUUUUUUGUUUAAAGUAAUUUGAAAGUUCACCUCACGUAUUAAUUCUAUUUCUUUGAUGGGGAAUGUUUUUCUUGAGGAAUUUUAGUUGGUCUCUAUUAUUUUUACCGAAGUAAUAAUUUUUCUCUUCAUUUAUUUGUUUUGCACGAUAUUUUGUGACACCACGUACUUUUCAUCUAUUAUCAUCCUUAUCUAGAUUAAUUUUAUUAAGGUUGCAUUUAUUGGUUAUUAAUAAAAUUAUCUCCUACGUAACUAAUUAUAUGUAUUUCUUUAGAGGCUUCUUAUUCCUAAAUAUUUUAUGGAAUUUUUUAGCAUAGUAGGCUAACUUCUCCUCAUUAGGUGAAUUUGAGUUAAAAGAUCCAUCACGGUUACCCCAAGCAAUUUUUAAGGCCAAACACUUUUCUUUUACAUGUUUAGUUAAGGUUAACUCAUAAGUCUGAAUCGAUCCUACCAAUUCUUUAACCUUAAUGGAAUUCAUAUCCUUACUUUCCUCUAUCGCCAUGAUUUUAGGCCUAAAUCGCUCAGGUAAGGAUGUAAGGAUUUUUUUGACUAUCUUAGACUUCAAGAUUCUAUCACCUAAAUUGAAGCUACAGUUUACUAUGUCAUUUAGACUCGCAUAAAAGAUAUCAAAAGUCUCAUUGUGACACCUUAUACCUCAAAAUUAGUUACUAUAUUAAAAUUUAGGGCCUUAUCACGUAGACGGUGUAGACUAGGAACUUAAUUGAUUAAUGUCUAAUAUUUUAGGGAUUAAAGUACAAAUAUUUGAAUCUCAAAGUGAUAUAAUUUCUAAGAUAUUGUUAUGAGUUUAAAUAAAUAAAUUCGAUUAGAUAUUAUGAUUAUUUUUAAAUAUUUAACAUUAUCACAAAUUCUAUUAGAUAUUACAAUUUUUUUUAAGUAUUCAACAUUAUCCAAAUUUUAGAUAUUAUGGUCAUUUUUAAAUAUUCAAUAUUAUCACAAAUUGUAUUAGAUAUUAUGAUUAUUUUAAUUAUUCAAAUUAUAUUGGAUAUUAUGAUUAUUCAACAUUAUCACAAAUUUUGUUGGAUAUUAAGAUUAUCUUUAAGUAUUUAAAUUUAUUUAAAUAAAUUAUGAGAUUUAUACUAUAUAUCAUUAGUAUACUAUAAAUAGGUGCAUGAUUUUCAGGAAAUUCACACCUCACUUUUUCUCUUUUCUCUCACAAUCCAUUUUACACACAAGCAUAUUUUACAUUACAAAAAUAUUUAGUACUUACGCUGUUCAAGAAAACUUCGGAGUGGAAAUCAAGCAAGCCAAUUUUUUUGAUUGCCUUUAUUUUCAAUACAACAAUAAGUAUAUACAGGUUGUUAUGCUGCACUUUUGGAAAUAUGUUUAUGUGUCCAUAUGCAUGUUCUAAGUUUCAGAUCGGAGUUUUAGUAGCGCUACGCACGUAAAACUCAUACCACCUAAAUUUGGUAUAGUUUCGUGUCUCCUCUAUACAAAUUCUAUGAUUCCAAACGUUAUAUGAUUAGAAACUUAUGAAAAUGUAUAUGCUUAUCGAGAUUUUCUCACCCUUAUGUUUUCCUCCUUCAGGUAACCAAGCAUUGAGAAAAUUGAAGUUUGGAGUUGGUCGUGGUGGUGGAAAUAAACUUUGAAGUUUUAUGAAUUUUCCUUUCAAAUUUAUUAUUUUAAGUAUCAUGA
rnacentral:lncRNA from 1 species